GGAUGUCAUAGUCCUGAAGGAAUGACACAAGGUGGCUUUGCCGUGGACAUGUCAAUAAAACAGGAUGGUUUUCCAGCCAUGCUCUCCUGUGCCUGGGCAACCUUGGGAGAAAGAUGGGUGCAGGCAAGGCCCACACCAGAAGGCAGAGCAGAGGAGCCCCCAUGCUCUUCUUCUCUGGGCCAGGCAGAGACUUCGCCCUUGGCCUCUCUCACGCCUCUGGCACUCCAGUUCCUCACUGGCUGGGGCCCAGCAACACAGAUGAGCCCCUUACUCACAGUGCCACCAGGCUAAACACUCACCAGGGAGCUGGGGGUAUUUAGCCCAGAGAAAAAGAGGCACAGGGAGGGCCUUGGCACUCUCUACAACUUCUACCUGGAAGGAGGUUGUAGACAGGUGUCAGUCUCUUCUCCCAGGUAACAAGAGAUAGAACAAGAGAAAAUGGCCUCAAGUUGAACCAAGGAACGGGCUGCUCAGAGAGGUGGUGGCGUCACCAUCCCCAGAGCUAGAUCACUGAGUUCCCUUCUCCACUGCCAAAGCCACAGAGACAGAUUUUAUCUCAGCUAUGCAGAGCAACCGCUACAUGUGCUGAUGCCUUGCUUCCCAGGAAGUGGCUGAACAUCUUGCUGAUGGGAAGAAGAGAACAGACUUAUUUUUUUUCUCUUUGCUUGUGCACACACAGACUUUUGCUUUUGCUUUAGUAAACGACCUUAUCUCAACUUA